GGGCAUAUCACGUUGAAACACCGGUUCUCGUACGAUCGCUGAAGUUAAGCAACGUCGAACAUGGUCAGUACCUAGAUGGAUAACUACUUGGAAAUACCAGGUGUUGUAAG